CGGAGGGUCCAAGCGUUAUCCGGAAUCAUUGGGUUUAAAGGGUCCGUAGGCGGUUUAAUAAGUCAGUGAUGAAAGCCCAUCGCUCAACGAUGGAACGGCCAUUGAUACUGUUAAACUUGAAUUAUUAGGAAGUAACUAGAAUAUGUAGUGUAGCGGUGAAAUGCUUAGAGAUUACAUGGAAUACCAAUUGCGAAGGCAGGUUACUACUAAUAUAUUGACGCUGAUGGACGAAAGCGUGGGGAGCGAACAGGAUUAGAUACCCUGGUAGUCCACGCCGUAAACGAUGGAUACUAGCUGUUCGGAGCAAUCUGAGUGGCUAAGCGAAAGUGAUAAGUAUCCCACCUGGGGAGUACGUUCGCAAGAAUG
rnacentral:rRNA from 1 species